GAUGAACGCUGGCGGCGUGCCUAAUACAUGCAAGUAGAACGCUGAAGCUUGGUGCUCGCACCGAGCGGAUGAGUUGCGAACGGGUGAGUAACGCGUAGGUAACCUGCCUGGUAGCGGGGGAUAACUAUUGGAAACGAUAGCUAAUACCGCAUAACAGUCGACAUUGCAUGAUGUUGAUUUGAAAGGGGCAAUUGCUCCACUACCAGAUGGACCUGCGUUGUAUUAGCUAGUUGGUGAGGUAACGGCUCACCAAGGCGACGAUACAUAGCCGACCUGAGAGGGUGAUCGGCCACACUGGGACUGAGACACGGCCCAGACUCCUACGGGAGGCAGCAGUAGGGAAUCUUCGGCAAUGGACGGAAGUCUGACCGAGCAACGCCGCGUGAGUGAAGAAGGUUUUCGGAUCGUAAAGCUCUGUUGUAAGAGAAGAACGAGUGUGAGAGUGGAAAGUUCACACUGUGACGGUAACUUACCAGAAAGGGACGGC
rnacentral:rRNA from 1 species